rnacentral:rRNA from 1 species
UGGGGAAUAUUGCACAAUGGGCGCAAGCCUGAUGCAGCCAUGCCGCGUGUGUGAAGAAGGUCUUCGGGUUGUAAAGCACUUUCAGCGGGGAGGAAGGCGAUAAGGUUAAUAACCUUGUCGAUUGACGUUACCCGCAGAAGAAGCACCGGCCAACUCCGUGCCAGCAGCCGCGGUAAUACGGAGGGUGCAAGCGUUAAUCGGAAUUACUGGGCGUAAAGCGCACGCAGGCGGUCUGUCAAGUCGGAUGUGAAAUCCCCGGGCUCAACCUGGGAACUGCAUUCGAAACUGGCGGGCUAGAGUCUUGUAGAGGGGGGUAGAAUUCCAGGUGUAGCGGUGGAAUGCGUAGAGAUCUGGAGGAAUACCGGUGGCGAAGGCGGCCCCCUGGACAAAGACUGACGCUCAGGUGCGAAAGAGUGGGGAGCAAACAGG